UACGUAGGGUGCAAGCGUUGUCCGGAAUUAUUGGGCGUAAAGAGCUCGUAGGCGGUCUGUUGCGUCCGCUGUGAAAUCCCAGGGCUCAACCCUGGGCGUGCAGUGGAUACGGGCAGGCUGGAGGCAGGCAGGGGAGAACGGAAUUCCCGGUGUAGCGGUGAAAUGCGUAGAUAUCAUGAGGAAGACCAGUGGCGAAGGCGGGUCUCUGGACAGUUCCUGACACUGAGGCACGAAGGCCAGGGGAGCAAACGGG
rnacentral:rRNA from 1 species